UACGUAGGGACCGAGCGUUGUCCGGAAUCAUUGGGCGUAAAGAGCGUGUAGGCGGCCCCUUAAGUCCUGCGUGAAAUCCUGCGGCUCAACCGCAGACGGUCGUGGGAAACUGGAGGGCUAGAGUGCGGGAGAGGAGAGUGGAAUUCCCGGUGUAGCGGUGAAAUGCGCAGAUAUCGGGAAGAACACCGGUGGCGAAGGCGGGUCUCUGGGCCAUUACUGACGCUGAGGAGCGAAAGCGUGGGGAGCGAACAGG
rnacentral:rRNA from 1 species